UAUUUGCUCCUCAACACUAAACCU
rnacentral:siRNA from 1 species